AAAGGUGCACGCAAGAAGAAUAUGGAGCCAGUGAAGGCCCUCAGUGAGUUUCAGGAAAUCGACAGUUUUUGCUGAAAGGCACAAAAUCUAUGGACACACUGACCAAUUGUAUCUUACUGACCAAUUGUACUAGAAAAAAAUCAAAUUCUCUACCGACACUAAAGAUUAUACCAUUCCAAGAAGAAAAAAAAUUAACAACUUAUUUGGUGAAUUCAAUUUAGAUCAAGUUGAUUCUCUUGCAGAUCUGACACUUUUAUAUCAGUUGGUAGUAUUUUUUUUGCGGUCAAGGAUUUUGACCUCUUGAAGCAUGAAAGGUUGUUGAUAUAUAUAUAAAUCUUCUUGCAUUAAGAAUUUUUUUUUAUUAAAAAAUCUGUGAUUUGGACAGUAGGUUGUGAACAAAUUUUAUUAAAAUACACAUAUGGUACCAUGAAAAAACAACCUGGUUGUAACACUAUUGUAUAAAAAGGUUAAGAAAUUUAUUCAUUUGAACUGUCAAUGUAUUGGUUUUUUUCUACUUUAUACUAGAUUUUGCCCAUUACAAUUUAGAGAGAAAUAUUAGUAUGUAUUGCUUGUUUUAUUCCCAGCAGAAGAAAAUCAGUAUAACUUGUACAUUAUUUACAUACAUGUAUGUUAAACUUGAAACAUUUACAGCAUCAUCAUGUCACAUACACUUUCAUUUUUACAUAGUUGUUAAACAUUGACAUUAAUAUUUUUAAAUAUAAUUUUAAGGUUUUUGUCGCAUUUUUAUUUGAUUAUUAGAUGACAUUUGAUUACACAUUUAAUGAGACAUUGACUUUUUAUAUCUUUAUAAAAUGCACAUGAAUCACCGUACAUGUAAGCCAUAUGUCUUGUGUUAGGAUUGUGAGCUUUCCAUUGGUUGUGAAUUGUGACCCUAGGUCAUCUUUAUCAUACAUAUGCAUCUGUUAGCAGGCUAGGCAUUAGUCUUAUCAUAAAAUCAUUAAAUAUUUCCAGAUA
rnacentral:misc_RNA from 1 species